rnacentral:lncRNA from 1 species
AAGUUGUUCUUGGCCAAAAACAUCAAUCAGCCUCAUCUCCAGAGUGAUCCUCCAAACUCAGGGAGAAUUGCAGUGAAUGACAGUUCCUAUUUCUCAACAUCAUUGUCAGCAUUUGAUGCCGUCAGUGUCCUAGAUUUUGACCAUUAUAAUAGUCAUCCUCCUUAGCCACCUCUGAUGAGUGCAUUGAAGAGGAUGACCUGCUUGGUUAUUCUGCUUCCCGAAUACAAAAAAUUAGGCUUCUGAAAUCAAACAUAAGAAGUCAUUGUUGCUUUUAUUCCAGAGACUGGGUCUCGCUGUGUUUCCCAGGCAGGUCUCUAACUACUGGGCUCAAAUAUCUGUCUGCUGCAGCCUCCCAAAGUGAUGGGAUUAGAGGCAUUAGCCACCCCACCCAGCCUCAACCAAGGAGUCUCGCUCAGUCGCCUCGGCUGGAGUGCAGUGGCACCAGCUCGGCUCACUGCAACCUCCGCCUGCUGGAUUCAAGUGAUUCUCUUACCUCAGCUUCCCGAGUGGCUGGGAUUACAGGCACCUGCCACAACGCCCGGCUAAUUUUUUUGUAUUUUAAAUAGAGACAGGAUUUCACCAUGUUGGGCAGGCUGGUCUUGAACCCCUUACCUCAAAUGAUUCACUUGCCUCGGCCUCCCAAAGUGCUGCAAUUACAGGCAUGAGCCCCCUCGCCCGGCCAAGAUGAACUAAUUUAAACAAAUAUUUAUAUUGAUCAUCAUAGUACAUCCAUCUUUGUUGGAUGUAUUAAUACCACAGUAUAAAUUGAUAAUAUUAAAUAUUACCAAUUCUAUCAGACUAUCAGAUGUUCAGACAUCUGAAGUCCUUGUUGGUAUCAC